UACGUAGGGUGCGAGCGUUGUCCGGAAUUAUUGGGCGUAAAGAGCUUGUAGGCGGUUUGUCGCGUCUGCUGUGAAAAUCCGGGGCUCAACCCCGGACUUGCAGUGGGGUACGGGCAGACUAGAGUGUGGUAGGGGGAGACUGGAAUUCCUGGUGUAGCGGUGGAAUGCGCAGAGUAUCAGGAGGAACACCGAUGGCGAAGGCAGGUCUCUGGGCCAC
rnacentral:rRNA from 1 species